CAAUUUAAAGUGCCUCUGAUUAAACCCAAAUAAAGUUUGGCUGUUCUAGUCAGCUUUUUCUUUUCUUUUAUUCCUAACAGAAGUCUGAAGAUUUUGUGCUAACAUUGACUGCAAUUUGGAACUGUUCACAAUUCCCUCCACCUUGACUCGAAGGCCCCAGUUCCAGCUGAAGACAAACUGCCCUAAAUCAUGAUGCUGCCACCGCAAUGCUUCACUGUAGAACAGCAGGCCUACUUCCGCCAACAGGUCCCCCACUUGCACCCUUCAAUUAUCUUUAAGAGGAGCACCUGGAUCACAAGACCGGUCUGUGUCAAGCUGGGCCUUCUGGCGCAGCGAGGGUGUGUCCUUGGAGAUGUGUCGAGCUGGGCCUUCUGGCGCAGCAAGGGUGUGUCCUUGGAGAUGCUCCCGGCGGAGUGAAAAGUUGGUGGCAGAAAGUUGCCUGCUCAGACCAUGUCUAAAUCUUGGCACAAGGUACUGUAGACUGCUGGUGUAACGCGAUUUUGGUGACUUUGAUUGGGGCAAGGCAGCACGUUGGCCGACUGGUUAGCACGUCUGCCUCACAGUUCUGAGGACUGGGGUUCAAAUUCCGGCCUCGGCUGUGUGUAGUUUGCAUGUCCUCCCUGUGCCUGCAUGGGUUUUCUCCGGGCACUCGGCUUUCCUCCCACAUCCCAAAAACAUGCGUAGUAGGUUGAUUGAAGACUCUAAAUUGCCUGUAGGUGUGAAUGGUUGUUUGUUUCUAUGUGCCCUGCGAUUGGCUGGCGACCAGUUCAGGGUGUACCCCGCCUCUCGCCCGAAGAUAGCUGGGAUAGGCUCCAGCAUGCCCGCGACCCUAGUGAGGAGAAGCGGCUCAGAAAAUGGAUGGAUGGAUGGAUGAUCAUUAAAAAUAGAAUAUGCAUGAUAAAAAUGAUCAAUAAUUUGUUGUGAACAAUUCAACCAAUUAAAAUUCAUUUUGAUUUGGUAUCAUUUAGCCACUUAUUACACCACUGUAGUUAGUAGAGCAGUGUGUGGAACCUGCCAGUGAUGUACAACCAAUGAAGAGAAAUAUUAUAAAAUGAAGAAACACAUUUUAAAGCUUAUCAUUAUACUGGUAUGUGUGCAAAUGUUUGGCAACUUGUAAGAUCUCGGCGUUUAAUUAUUCUGCUACAUUUUCAUGAUGACUGUGUGAUUCUGAUGACGACACCAAAGCCACUUUAUCGUGAUAUUGACCUCUAAUCCCACUGUGAUUUAACUGACAGCUAAAUUGUCUCGGUGUGACAAUACAAUUUGGGGCAGUGAUUAUGGAGACGAGUCAAAAGGUUUGACGUGUUGUCCACCUGCGCUCUGACUUUUUUACAGCCUUCUCUGCAUGCAGGGUAAUUAUCUUGAAUUCAUUUUCCAUCGGCAACCAAAUUACACCCACACUUCUGUUAUAGUCCUUUUCUAGGUGAAAAAAUAUUGCGGUCAUCUGCGCUACCUUCUGCUAUCCAUCGUAGUACUAUGGGUCUGUAACAUAUGCAUCUGAAGUCAUCUUGUUAACUCUCAGACGUUCUUUGUCUUCUUUUUCACUUUGCUUUUGGUCCAUAGACUGGAUAGAACAAGCUGAAUCAAAGCCUUCUACUUUGAUAUGCUAAAUACGCUAGUAAAGGUAAUAGAAAAUAGUAAACUGUUUCAUCCCCAACACAGAAUAAAGUCCCUUAGAGACUUGGUAAGUUGUUUCUCAUUAAAAUAAAAACUGAGUGUGUUUUGGUUUUUAUGUUUUACUGUAAACAUCUUUUAACAUUGCUUGCUUAGUGAAUUCAGAUUUUAUGAUUGCACACCUCUCUUUACAAUAAAAUGAUCACACAACUCCUAAAAGAGGAUAAAAUAUUAAUUUAUGAGGCGUUCUCCUUUUUCUGAGUCAGGCGAGCCCAUGGCAGCAUCCUCAAAUGAUGAGUUCAAACCUGGCACGGUUUAUUUGGUACUUUGAUCUUUAAGCUAUUUUCAUGUCUAGUUGGCUGCUUUUAAAAGCAUUAAGGCAGAAAGUUUGCUUUUUUUUCUAAGAUAGCAGCCCAUAAAUAGUCUGGUGGGUUGUUUUGGUAAAUAGAGAUCCAGGCACAACCUUCAGUGACUCGAUGCUGGCAGGAUUCCACAGCCAGAGCCUCGUUCAUCUCAAAGUGUCCAUCUGGGACGGAGCGGGUGACAGGAGGGAGGGGGAGAGGAUAAAUUGUUGAGUUGUUCAGCGUGGGGUGUUUAGAAUGACUUUGCACAGAAAGGAGGAAACAAAGCACACUGGGAACCCAGAGUGAUGCAGACAAGAUGCUGCCAAUGAAUGGAGGGGAGUGAAGGAUGCACAGUGACUCCACUUAUAAUCCACAGAUAUUAUGUGAGAGGUGAGGGCAAGGUUACACAUGAACCACACUCAAAUUUAGUGGUGAAUUAUUAUAUAAAAACAUGCACUCAAAAUUACUUUAAGGAUAUUAAAAAAAAAAUUCAGUUUCCAGGAAACAAGCAUGUUCUUGUCUCACGUCAUAAAUAGUACCUUUAUAGUAGCUUCAGGAACCGUCUGAGGCCUCUUUGACCAAACAAUUCCUUGAUUGAUUUCAACUAGUGUUAACUCAUUUACUGCAAACUGGUUUCAAAGCAGUGGAACGGUGGACGACUGGUUAGAGCGUCUGCCUCACAAUUAUGAGGACCGGAGUUCAAUCCCUGGCCUCGCUUGUGUGGAGUUUGCGUCUUCUCCCUGUGCCUGCGUGGGUUUUCUCCGGGCACUCCGGUUUCCUCCCACAUCCCAAAAACAUGCAUGGUAGGUUAAUUGAUAGGUUAAUAAUAACUCUAAAUUGCCCGUAGGUGUGAAUGUGAGUGCGACUGGUUUGUAUGUGCCCUGCGAUUGGCUGGCAACCAGUUCAGGAUGUACCCUGCCUCCUGCCCGAUGAUAGCUGGGAUAGGCUCCAGCACGCCCGCGACCCUAGUGAGGAGAAGCGGCUCAGAAAAUGGAUGGCUGGAUGGAGGCGUUACCGAUCAAUGCAAACUAGAACUAGUAGACAUUGAAACAGCUUCUUCCCUCUUGCAAUCAACUUCUUAAACACCUAACCUACAAUUCCAUUACAACAGGCUGGCAAUUUUUUUACUUGAGUUUGUUGUCACACUUCUGUUGGGCCAAUUAUAUAUUACUCGUGCACUCACUGUAGUUGUCUCUCCACGCUGCACUAUUUGCAUAUCUGUUGUUGACCAAUACUGGCCACUCAUGCCAGAGUAGCAUCUGCUCCAUUUGCACACUGAUUGAGGAGUAUCUGCAACAUUUGCACAAUCAACAUUGUCCCAGAUUAUCGCACUACUCGACACUUUAAACCGCAUACACUCCUUGAAGUCUCGGCGCCCUUUGCACAAUGGUCAUUGCACUGGACUAUUGCAAUAUUAGUCAUUCGAACUGCUCUAAGUGCGAGAGGACUCUGCAUCUUUUUGCACAAUUGUCAAAAAAUAAAUAAAAAAUCAUAAUAAUGUUACCAUUAUUACCAGCAUUACCAGAUAACUAGCAAACCUUUACUGCUCAGUGACUGUUUUUUUUUGGUCAAUGUCUCUAUGUCUCAAAAGUGUUCUCUGUCAAUUGACUGUCUGUUGUCGUACUAGAGCGGCUCCAACUACCGGAGACAAAUUCCUUGUGUGUUUUUUUUGGACAUACUUGGCAAAUAAAGAUGAUUCUGAUUCUGAUUCUGAUGGGUGGUUUCAAAGCAGAGUUCCCCAUAUUGCAAGGCGUUGUGUCAUAUACUGCCCUGCAGUUCCAUUAUUGGAGCCUGGAGGCCGCUUUGCAUCCUCUCUCUCCCUCCCUCCCCUCUCUCUUUUCAGCACCUGUCUCCAAUCAGCCUCAUCACCACCGGUAUAAAAGCCUGCCUGUUCCCAGAAAUCCUCGCCAAAGUAUUGCAGCUACUUCCAGCGAGCACCCCUGUGUUCCUGAUCCACGUCAUUCCUGCCACCAAGCCAGCCGCCUAUUCUGUCCACUGCCUGCCACCACUCCACGCCGCCAACACAUCCAGGACCUCCUCCAUAACCUUUCCUCAAUAAACUGUUCAUCAUUUUA